rnacentral:rRNA from 1 species
CCUACGGGUGGCAGCAGUGAGGAAUAUUGGUCAAUGGACGAGAGUCUGAACCAGCCAAGUAGCGUGAAGGAUGACUGCCCUCUGGGUUGUAAACUUCUUUUAUAUUGGAAUAAAAUGUUCCACGUGUGGGAUUUUGUAUGUACCAUAUGAAUAAGGAUCGGCUAACUCCGUGCCAGCAGCCGCGGUAAUACGGAGGAUCCGAGCGUUAUCCGGAUUUAUUGGGUUUAAAGGGAGCGUAGGUGGAUUUUUAAGUCAGUUGUGAAAGGUUGCGGCUGAACCAUAAAAAUGCAGUUGAAACUGGCAGUCUUGAGAACAGUAGAGGUGGGCGGAAUUCGUGGUGUAGCGGUGAAAUGCUUAGAUAUCACGAAGAACUCCGAUUGCGAAGGCAGUUGACUGGACUGCAACUGACGCUGAGGCUCGAAAGCGUGGGUAGCAAACAGGAUUAGAUACCCCAGUAGUC